rnacentral:rRNA from 1 species
UACGGGGGGGGCAAGCGUUGUUCGGAAUUACUGGGCGUAAAGGGUUCGUAGGUGGCUUGCUAAGUCAGACGUGAAAUCCCUCAGCUUAACUGGGGAACUGCGUCUGAGACUGGCAAGCUCGAGGUGCAGGAGAGGAACGCGGAAUUCCAGGUGUAGCGGUGAAAUGCGUAGAUAUCUGGAGGAACACCGGUGGCGAAGGCGGCGUUCUGGACUGCAACUGACACUGAGGACGAAAGCCGGUGGGAGCAAACGGG